rnacentral:rRNA from 1 species
GGGCCCGCACAAGCGGCGGAGCAUGCGGAUUAAUUCGAUGCAACGCGAAGAACCUUACCAAGGCUUGACAUGCACUCGUAACACCCAGAGAUGGGUGCCCCGUAAGGCGGGUGCACAGGUGGUGCAUGGUUGUCGUCAGCUCGUGUCGUGAGAUGUUGGGUUAAGUCCCGCAACGAGCGCAACCCUCGUCCCAUGUUGCCAGCGGGUUAUGCCGGGGACUCAUGGGAGACUGCCGGGGUCAACUCGGAGGAAGGUGGGGAUGACGUCAAAUCAUCAUGCCCCUUAUGUCUUGGGCUUCACGCAUGCUACAAUGGCCGGUACAGAGGGCUGCGAUACCGUAAGGUGGAGCGAAUCCCUAAAAGCCGGUCUCAGUUCGGAUUGGGGUCUGCAACUCGACCCCAUGAAGUCGGAGUCGCUAGUAAUCGCAGAUCAGCAACGCUGCGGUGAAUACGUUCCCGGGCCUUGUACACACCGCCCGUCAAGUCAUGAAAGUCGGUAACACCCGAAGCCCAUGGCCCAACCCGUAAGGGGGGGAGUGGUCGAAGGUGGGACUGGCGAUUAGGACUAAGUCGUAACAAGGUAGCCGUACCGGAAGGUGCGGCU